GUAGUCCCGGCUGUAAACGAUGUCGACUUGGAGGUUGUGCCCUUGAGGCGUGGCUUCCGGAGCUAACGCGUUAAGUCGACCGCCUGGGGAGUACGGCCGCAAGGUUAAAACUCAAAUGAAUUGACGGGGGCCCGCACAAGCGGUGGAGCAUGUGGUUUAAUUCGAUGCAACGCGAAGAACCUUACCUGGUCUUGACAUCCACAGAACUUUCCAGAGAUGGAUUGGUGCCUUCGGGAACUGUGAGACAGGUGCUGCAUGGCUGUCGUCAGCUCGUGUUGUGAAAUGUUGGGUUAAGUCCCGCAACGAGCGCAACCCUUAUCUUUUGUUGCCAGCGGUCCGGCCGGGAACUCAAAGGAGACUGCCAGUGAUAAACUGGAGGAAGGUGGGGAUGACGUCAAGUCAUCAUGGCCCUUACGACCAGGGCUACACACGUGCUACAAUGGCGCAUACAAAGAGAAGCGACCUCGCGAGAGCAAGCGGACCUCAUAAAGUGCGUCGUAGUCCGGAUUGGAGUCUGCAACUCGACUCCAUGAAGUCGGAAUCGCUAGUAAUCGUGGAUCAGAAUGCCACGGUGAAUACGUUCCCGGGCCUUGUACACACCGCCCGUCACACCAUGGGAGUGGGUUGCAAAAGAAGUAGGUAGCUUAACCUUCGGGAGGGCGCUUACCACUUUGUGAUUCACGACUGGGGUGAAGUCGUAACAAGGUAACCGUAGGGGAACCUGCGGCUGGAUCACCUCC
rnacentral:rRNA from 1 species